CCUUCGAUAGCUCAGUUGGUAGAGCGGUGGACUGUAGCGAGGUUGAGGGUCGAUCAUCUGUUACAAUGCAUCUCAAAGUGCAUCUGAAUAGAAAUCCAUAGGUCACUGGUUCAAAUCCGGUUCGAAGGA
rnacentral:tRNA from 1 species